rnacentral:rRNA from 1 species
AGAGUUUGAUCAUGGCUCAGGACGAACGCUGGCGGCGUGCUUAAUACAUGCAAGUCGAACGAGGUCCAACUGGUGGCAACACCGGUGAAGACCGAGUGGCGAACGGGUGAGUACCACGUGAGCAACCUGCCCCGAAGACCGGGAUAACACCGGGAAACCGGUGCUAAUACCGGAUGCCCCCAUCGGACCGCAUGAUCCGGUGAGGAAAGGAUUCUGCUUCGGGAGGGGCUCGCGGCCUAUCAGCUUGAUGGCGGGGUAACGGCCCACCAUGGCUACGACGGGUAGCUGGUCUGAGAGGACGAUCAGCCACACUGGGACUGAGACACGGCCCAGACUCCUACGGGAGGCAGCAGUAGGGAAUCUUGCGCAAUGGGCGAAAGCCUGACGCAGCAACGCCGCGUGAGGGACGAAGGCUUUCUGAGUUGUAAACCUCUUUCAGCAGGGACGAUAGUGACGGUACCUGCAGAAGAAGCACCGGCCAACUACGUGCCAGCAGCCGCGGUGAUACGUAGGGUGCGAGCGUUGUCCGGAUUUAUUGGGCGUAAAGAGCUCGUAGGCGGUUCGAUAAGUCGGGUGUGAAAUCUCCAGGCUCAACCUGGAGUCGCCACUCGAUACUGUCGUGACUCGAGUCCGGUAGGGGACCAUGGAAUUCCUGGUGUAGCGGUGAAAUGCGCAGAUAUCAGGAGGAACACCAGUAGCGAAGGCGGUGGUCUGGGCCGGAACUGACGCUGAGGAGCGAAAGCGUGGGGAGCGAACAGGAUUAGAUACCCCAGUAGUCC